GUUUUUGAAGAUAUAUACAGGACAUGUGAAUAGAGUCUAUUGUGUUGUGUCCACAUUUUCUGUCACCAAUGGAAAAUACAUCGUCAGUGGAUCGGAGGAUAAAUGUGUGUAUAUAUGGGAUCUACAGCAGAAAACCAUGAUUCAGAAACUUGAAGGCCACACUGAUGUUGUGAUUUCUGUGUCCUGCCAUCCAACUGAGAACAAGAUUGCAUCUGCAGGACUUGAUGGAGAUCGAUCAGUGAGAGUUUGGGUUCAAGAUUCG
rnacentral:misc_RNA from 1 species